GGCUCGGUUGCGGAUGGUCCGCCUCUGUCUCUUGUUUGCGCUGAAUAUCACGUAGACAUCGGAGUUGCCUGUUCGAUUCAGGCCUGAGUCA